rnacentral:lncRNA from 1 species
UCCUCGAGUAAUUCCUGCAACCAAAUCGCUUGCUUAGCUGCCUCUGUUGCAGCCAUAAACUCUGCUUCGCAUGAAGAUAGUGCAACAGUUUCUUGCUUCUGUGAGCACCAUGUUAUAGGACAGUUAUUGAUGUAGAAAACAUGUCCCGAAGUGCUUUUCCCAUCGUCUAAGUCAACAUUGUGACUACUGUCACUAUAUCCAACCAGACCAGAUGUAUUCGCUUCUUCAAACUUCAAACCGUAUUUUAAGGUUCCUCGAAGAUACCUUAGGAUUUGUUUCAAGGCUAUUCCAUGGGAUUCUUUUGGAUCCUGCAUAUACCUGCUUAGCACUCCAACACAAUACGAAAGAUCAGGUCUUGUAUGAAGUAGAUAUCGAAGACAUCCUAUGUUCCUCCUGUAUUUCUUUUCAUCGAUGCUUCUUUCUUCAGGUGCCUUACUCAGAUUUAAACCCGCAUCCAUUGGUAUAUGCACAGCAUUGCAAUCGCUUAAUCCAUUUUCUUCAAGUAUUCUCUUUGCAUAUCUUUCUUGGUUUAGUGUGAUACUAUCUCCUUGUUGUAACACUUCUAUCCCAAGGUAAUAUGUCAGUCUUCCCAAAUCACUCAUCUCAAAACGCUCUGCAAUGUCCCGUUUGAACUCGAGAAUUAAGUUCAAAGAAGAUCCUGUGACAAGUAAGUCGUCCACGUACACAGCUACAACAAGAAGUAAACCCUUUUCUUCUUUUCGGUAUAAAGAGGGUUCUUUCGAACACUUGCUGAAUUUCAACUCCCGAAGGAUCUGAUUGAGCUUGUUGUUCCAGGCUCGUGGUGCUUGCCUAAGUCCAUAGAGAGCUUUGUGUAGUUUGUAUACUUUGCCCUCACUUCCUUUAACUACAAAUCCCUCAGGUUGAUGCACAUAAACCUCCUCCUUUAAUUCGCCAUGUAAGAACGCUGUUUUUACAUCAAGAUGACGUACUUCCCACCUGUUCGAAGCGGCUAGUGCAAUGAUAAGGCGAAUGGUUUCAAUUCAGGCUACGGGAGCAAAUACUUCAUCGAAGUCAAUACCAAACCUCUGCACAUAUAUAAUCCUUUGCGACAAGCCUUGAUUUGUACUUAUUUAUGCUCCCAUCAGAGUUAUGCUUUAUCUUAAACACCCACUUAAGUCCAAUUGGUUUUGCUCCAACAGGAAGAUCAACCAGGCUCCAUGUUUUGUUCUUGUUAAUCGAAGCUAUCUCUUCUUCACAUGCAUCUCUCCAGACUUUUAACUCUUUUGCUUCAUUGUAGUUCCAAGGUUCUUCGUCUAUCGCAAGUAAAAGAUGUUCCCCUUCAAUCUCUGCAAGGAGAACGAAGUCUCCUAGAUAACCUGGUUGUUUUCGUGCUCGCGAUGAACGUCUAAGAACAGGUUGAUCAGAUUCAUGUCCUUCAGUUCCUUCAGUCUCAUACUCGAGACUAUCACUAACAUCGUUUCCUUCUGCAUCAUCGAUGCUCUGAUCAUUCCCUGUCUCUUCUGUUUCAUACGAUCUUUUAUCCCCUGUUUCGCUGCUUCCUCCAUCUCUUAAAGCAAGAGUAAAUGUCCCUGCGUCGUUAUUAGCUUGGGUUCCUGAAUUAUUCCACUUCCAGCCCUUUGUUUCAUCGAAAACAACAUCACGGCUGACAAUUAUCUUCUUGCUUUUUGGUUCUAAAAGCCGAUAAGCCUUUGACCCAGGCUCUGUUCCUAGAUGAAUCAGUUCUUGUGAUCUAUCAUCUAGUUUCUUUAGGUGAGGAGUCGUUAUUUUCGCAUACCCAAUACAUCCGAAAACUUUUAAGUGUUCGAUGUUAGGCUUCUUCCCCUUAAGUGCCUCAUAUGGAGUUUGUUUCAACAAAGUCUUCGUCCCUACUCUGUUUAUGAUAUAGGUUGCGUGUCUCACAGCUUCUCCCCACAAGAAAUUUGGAAUUUUCAUAUGUUUCAUGAUGCUUCUUGUCAUCUCCAUAAGUGUUCUGUUCCUCCUUUCUACUACUCCAUUCUGUUGAGGGGAGUAUGGGGCAGUUAGGUGUCUUUUGAUGCCUGUAUCUUCGCAAAACUCAUGAAAUUCUUGAGACACAAACUCGCCUCCUCUGUCAGUGCGUAGAGUUUGAAUCUUCAGACCAGUUUCUUGCUCAACAAUUUGUUUGAACUUCUUAAAUCUGCUGAAUGCUUCACUCUUUUCUUUUAGCAGAAGGGACCACAUGUAUCGGGAAUAAUCAUCUAUCAGCACAAAGAUGUAUCUAUUUAGUGCUGCUGUAGCCGGUGUAAUUGGUCCACAAAGGUCGCCGUGGAUCAGUUCAAGUGUUUGCUUUGCUCGAUAUGAGGUUGCCUGUGGGAAAGUCUUCCUUGUUUGUUUACCGAGUAAACAUGCAGAGCAGGUUUCCUAUUCAACUGCGAUACUUGGUAUACCUGUGACUAAAUCAUCUUUGAUCAUUGUCUUCAAUGUGUUUAUACCAACAUGUCCAAGCCUUGCAUGCCAUUUAGCUGAGUCGCUUAAGGUUGUAAUCUGCAGACACUUACUGUUUUCCACCUCCAUUCGAACCUUGUAGAGCUGGUUUCUUGAUCUUUGUGCUUUUACUAGUAACUUUCCAUCACUCCCAUAAAGUGUUAAGUAGUUCCCUUUCAUGCGUACAUCACAUCCGGAUUCUGUAGCCUGCCCUAGACUGAUUAUAUUACUUCUGAGAUCCGGUAUGAAAUAGACAUCUGCAAGAAUUUUCUUCUCACCAUCCUUGCUCACAAACAGUAUGGAUCCCUUUCCCUUGAUGUCAAUGCGAGAAUCAUCUCCAAAGCGCACCUUUCCCGUGACACUUUCGUCAAUCCUUGAGAAAUAACUUCGGUUACCUGUCAUGUGAUUGCUAGCCCCGUUAUCAAGAUACCAUAUGUUUUCUUCAUCGGACGUUGUCGCAAAUUUGUCUGGCCUCACGUUUUUCUCAUUGAGAAACACUACUUCAUGCAUCAUCAACUUCUCUCCUUCGUGUGUGUCAUCAUCAUUGACUUCAUCUUCCUUAGUCUCUUGAAGUUUCAGCAAUCUAUCAGGACAACUUGAUGCAUAAUGUCCCAGCUUGUCACACCGAUAACAAGUAACUUUAGACAAAUCUCUUGCCUCAUUGGUUCUGCCACGACCUCUUCCUCUGUUAUAGAAGCGUCCUCCUCGACCUCUGCCUCUAGAUUCGUUACUAUAGUUUCGGUUUGCUUGUGACUCUGUAUUGGUGUACAUCAGUUUUCCCUGAUCUUCUUGUGAUUCCUCAUCGUCUCCUUGGAUUCUUUCUUCGUAGGCUUUCAAGCGCCCAGUAAUAUCCUCAAAACUGGUGGUGUUGAGGUCUAAUACUUGCUCGAGUGAAGCCACUAUAUGUAUGAACUUCUUCCGAGGUAGACUUUUAAGAAACUUUCUAACAAGUUUCGGUUCUUCAAUGAUUGUUCCCAAUGCUGCCGAUUUUGAACAUAUUUCGGAUAGCUUUCCACUGAAAUCGUCUAUGGUCUCCGUGUCCUUCAUCGUUAACUUGUCAAACUCAGCCAUUAGAGUCUGUAGUCGGGCUUCUCGGACUCUUUCUGCUCCGACAUGCUUUGCUUUAAUGGCGUUCCACACUUUCUUAGCCGUAUCAAGACCGCCGAUUUGUAAAACAGCUGCUUCGGGUAUUGAUUGGAAGAUCAGAGCCAUAGCGAUGUCGUUUUUUUCUGCAUCGUCUGACUCUGUUUCCACAAUAUCCCAUACUUUGUGAACUCUGAGUAAUAUGCGCAUCUUCAAUCCCCAUACGGUGUAGUUGGUUGAAUUCAACAUCGGACACUGAAUUGUCGAUGUGCUCAUCUCCUUUGGUUUUGUGAUCGGCACAAUAUCUCCCAUGUUUGUACGAACUUAGUUUCUAGGUUUUGAUCGAUUGGUUUAAUGGCUCUGAUACCAAAUAUUAUCAAAAUAGCUUUGAGAUCAAGUUGAUAAAACUCUCUUUUAUUAAACUUUAGGAAAACUCACUCAAAAACCUAAAAGAUCAAAACUCAAAACUCAUAAGUUAUGCCACACAUUGGCAUCUCCUUAUAUAGAUGUUUAGCUACUCCUAAACCUAUUAGAAUAAGGUAAUUAGAUAACUCCUAAUUUUCUUUUCUUAAACCUAACUCUUUUAGGAAACAUAACAUAAAGAAUCUUCUAGAAAACUUGCUCAACAAGCUUCUUUCAAGCUUACUCCAACAAUCUCCCCCUUAAGCUUGAAAUCUUCUUUAGUCACCUCCUUGACUCCAAUGAGAUCUCUCAUCUCUUUAAACUUGGUUCUGCCGAGUGCUUUAGUCAGAAUGUCAGCUUUCUGUUCUGUUCCCGGAACAUGUUCAACCAGAAUCUGCUCAUUCUCAACACACUCUCUAAUGAAGUGAUACCUUCGGUGUAUGUGCUUACUCCUUCCGUGAAACACUGGAUUUUUAGUCAAGGCUAUAGCUGAUUUAUUAUCAAUCCGAACCACAGCUUUUUCACAUCCUGAUCCAAUGACUUCCUCGAGUAACUCCUGCAACCAAAUCGCUUGCUUAGCUGCCUCUGUUGCAGCCAUAAACUCUGCUUCGCAUGAAGAUAGUGCAACAGUUUCUUGCUUCUGUGAGCACCAUGUUAUAGGACAGUUAUUGAUGUAGAAAACAUGUCCCGAAGUGCUUUUCCCAUCGUCUAAGUCAACAUUGUGACUACUGUCACUAUAUCCAACCAGACCAGAUGUAUUCGCUUCUUCAAACUUCAAACCGUAUUUUAAGGUUCCUCGAAGAUACCUUAGGAUUUGUUUCAAGGCUAUUCCAUGGGAUUCUUUUGGAUCAUGCAUAUACCUGCUUAGCACUCCAACACAAUACGAAAGAUCAGGUCUUGUAUGAAGUAGAUAUCGAAGACAUCCUAUGUUCCUCCUGUAUUUCUUUUCAUCGAUGCUUCUUUCUUCAGGUGCCUUACUCAGAUUUAAACCCGCAUCCAUUGGUAUAUGCACAGCAUUGCAAUCGCUUAAUCCAUUUUCUUCAAGUAUUCUCUUUGCAUAUCUUUCUUGGUUUAGUGUGAUACUAUCUCCUUGUUGUAACACUUCUAUCCCAAGGUAAUAUGUCAGUCUUCCCAAAUCACUCAUCUCAAAACGCUCUGCCAUGUCCCGUUUGAACUCGAGAAUUAAGUUCAAAGAAGAUCCUGUGACAAGUAAGUUGUCCACGUACACAGCUACAACAAGAAGUAAACCCUUUUCUUCUUUUCGGUAUAAAGAGGGUUCUUUCGAACACUUGCUGAAUUUCAACUCCCGAAGGAUAUGAUUGAGCUUGUUGUUCCAGGCUCUUGGUGCUUGCCUAAGUCCAUAGAGAGCUUUGUGUAGUUUGUAUACUUUGCCCUCACUUCCUUUAACUACAAAUCCCUCAGGUUGAUGCACAUAAACCUCCUCCUUUAAUUCGCCAUGUAAGAACGCUGUUUUUACAUCAAGAUGAUGUACUUCCCACCUGUUCGAAGCGGCUAGUGCAAUGAUAAGGCGAAUGGUUUCAAUUCGGGCUACGGGAGCAAAUACUUCAUCGAAGUCAAUACCAAACCUCUGCACAUA